rnacentral:rRNA from 1 species
AGAGUUUGAUCCUGGCUCAGAACAAACGCUGGCGGCGUGCCUAACACAUGCAAGUCGUGCGAGAAAGUUCCCUUCGGGGAGCGAGUAAAGCGGCGAAAGGGUGAGUAACACGUGGGUAACCUGCCCCUGGGAUCGGGAUAACGUGCCGAAAGGUGCGCUAAUACCGGUUAAGACCACACGGACUUAUGUCCGAGCGGUAAAAGAUGGCCUCUACUUGUAAGCUAUCACCUGGGGAUGGGCCCGCGGCCUAUUAGCUAGUUGGUAGGGUAAUGGCCUACCAAGGCUAUGAUGGGUAGCCGGCCUGAGAGGGUGUACGGCCACACUGGAACUGAGACACGGUCCAGACUCCUACGGGAGGCAGCAGUGGGGAAUUUUGCGCAAUGGGGGAAACCCUGACGCAGCAACGCCGCGUGAGUGAUGAAGGCCUUCGGGUCGUAAAGCUCUUUUAGUGGGGAAGAAAUGCAUUCCGGUCAAUACCCGGGGUGUUUGACGGUACCCACAGAAAAAGUUCCGGCUAACUCCGUGCCAGCAGCCGCGGUAAUACGGAGGGAGCGAGCGUUGUUCGGAAUCAUUGGGCGUAAAGAGCGCGCAGGCGGUUGGGUAAGUCAGACGUGGAAGCCCAUGGCUCAACCAUGGAAUUGCGUUUGAAACUGCCCGGCUCGAGUUCGGGAGAGGGUGGCGGAAUUCCCAGUGUAGAGGUGAAAUUCGUAGAUAUUGGGAGGAACACCUGUGGCGAAGGCGGCUACCUGGACCGAUACUGACGCUGAGGCGCGAAAGCUAGGGGAGCGAACGGGAUUAGA